CCUACGGGAGGCAGCAGUGAGGAAUAUUGGACAAUGGGUGCAAGCCUGAUCCAGCCAUCCCGCGUGAAGGACGACGGCCCUAUGGGUUGUAAACUUCUUUUGUACAGGGAUAAACCUACCCUCGUGAGGGUAGCUGAAGGUACUGUACGAAUAAGCACCGGCUAACUCCGUGCCAGCAGCCGCGGUAAU
rnacentral:rRNA from 1 species